UACGUAGGGUGCAAGCGUUGUCCGGAAUUAUUGGGCGUAAAGAGCUCGUAGGCGGUCUGUCGCGUCUGCUGUGAAAACUCAGGGCUUAACCCUGAGCUUGCAGUGGGUACGGGCAGACUAGAGUGCGGUAGGGGAGACUGGAAUUCCUGGUGUAGCGGUGAAAUGCGCAGAUAUCAGGAGGAACACCGGUGGCGAAGGCGGGUCUCUGGGCCGUAACUGACGCUGAGGAGCGAAAGCACGGGGAGCGAACAGG
rnacentral:rRNA from 1 species